rnacentral:lncRNA from 1 species
AAAGCAGAAGCCUUUACUAUGCCUUUUACUAUUCCAGUAAUGAAACUGCUAUCAAUAGCAAGAAAGCUUUCCCAGAUUUCAGAAUUUCCGGAGACACUGGAUCAGACACACCAGAGCAGUGGCAGCAAACUUACGGCCCGUGUGUUAUUGUGUUUUUAAGACAAAAGGCGUGGUGCUGCACAUCUGUAACCCCAGGUACAACAAAGGCUGAGGUAAAAGAAUUGUGAGUUCAAGUCCAACCUGAGCAACUUAGGAGAACUUGUCUCAAAAUAAAGGGAGAAAAAGAAAACUUUUUUUAAAAGAGCUUAUCAUGAAGAACAGUUGGUGUUAGCAC